AGUAUUCAUGUUUAGUCUAUCUAAUAUUAACUGCAUUCAUCUGGGUGAAGGUUCUGUCUGGGUAAACCCAGCCUCUCACUGCUGCUCUUCAGGUGGUGGGGAAGAGCCUGCAGGAGUGGCUGUGCUGGAAGCUGCUCAGUCUUCCCAGUAUGGGAAUUCUUCCAUUAGAUGGGGAUAGGUGCAGAACUCAGGACCUUGGGAAGUCCCUGCCUGGGGUGUGUGUGCCCAGUGGGACAAAUGGGGAGUUGUUCUCUUGGUUUUUAGGGUUUGGAGAUUAAGCUGCUUUGAAUUACUUAUCGCUGAUGCUUGUGACUGAUAUGGUGAAGAACUGAAGCCUGUGAGGGGCUGUCCAGGCCCAAGCAAGCUGUUACAAGGGAGUCUAAAGUGUGUUGCAAUGGGGAAAUGAAUUGUGAUGCCUUUCCCUGAGCUUUCCAUCAAACAAAAGCUGGGGUGACCUCAGGCAGCCAUGGAGACCAUUUCUGUGCAGGUCAGGUUUCAGUGUUAGCAGAGCACAGCAUCCUGUUCCUAAAGGAACAUUGCUGCUUAUAACCCCGGCCAUGCAGAGCAUUGCUGUGUGGGUGUAGGGAUUGUGUAAGCACCCAUAAUAAACAAUGGAAUAUGUGAACUUUGGCACUGUGCAUUGCAGUCCUGUUGUUUGUGAUCAUAGGUUAUCUCAGAUAUGCUUGUAGGCUUCAAGUUGCUGGAGGAGAUGGAGGAGGAGCAGUGUUUGCACACUCAGCCCCAUCUUGUGACACUCCUUUUUCACUCUAUUGCAUUCAGAAGAUGCUGUAGAGGGAAAAGCUCUUGCAACAGCAGCCUCUGCUUCCUGCAGCACUGUGCAUGGACCUCACAUCCUUCAGAGCACAGUGAGGUUUCCUGCAGAACCAUCGAGGGAAGCUGAGAAUGUCAGUUGGUGCUGGACUGCUGCAUGCUGUAAGGACUGAUGGAGGGGUUUCUCUGCCUUCCACAAGGGCUUAAUGUGGGAAGAGGAUGGGUUGAGAUGGCUCGGGCUCUGCUUCUGGUUCAUCUGAGCAUCAGUUUUGUUUCAUGCUUGUGUUUUCUUCCUACCUCACGUGCACCCAGUUCUGUGCCUGCUUCUGUUUUGGAGUGGAGUUAUGGAGAGCUUUAAUCCUUGCAAUCCACAGCAACAUUCUGAGGUCAGAGGCAGGAGAGCAGCAUGCUGAGGUAGGAGUGUAUUAUUGCACUGCACUUAUCUGAAAGCACUCAGCAAUGGUGACUGUGCUGACUCUGGGAGGUUAAAUAUGCACAGGGCUGUUUGCUGCUGCUGUGACGCACACCAUAACACAAACCUUAUCUUCCACACAGGACAGCUGUGCAGCAGAACCAAAGCACAGAACUGUGCCUGGUGGUUGUUUGCAGCACUGUGCAUUGCUGGGAGCUGCGCUCACAGCUUAUCAGAAAUGAGCACUUUCCAGUUCAGGGCACCAUUUCCUGGCACUGCUUUAUUUACUGUUGCAGGCUUAGAGCAGGUAUGAGACAGGCCUUGAGCAGGAAGGAGGAUUUAAAGUGCGUUGAGUUGCGCUGGUUGGCUGCGGUGUGACCUGAGCAUGGCUGCAAGCAGGUGCUCUGGGGGGCAGUUCAAAGAAAGGAGGAGGGUAUUUUCUUCAGUACCUGCACUGUAUCUGCUUGCUUCACAGCUGCUGAUGGACCUCAGGGAUGUGCAUGCUCCGGGUGUUACAGGGCAGGGUGUUAAAGCUGUUGCUAGUUUGUGCUGGCCAGGUGAGUUUUCAAUGUUGGGCCAACCCAAAUCAAGAAGCCCUUAAUGCUCAUAGGUCAGAAAUAUCAUCAGUGAUGAAGGUGUAGGAAAUGAGGGCUGAGCUGUGAGGAAGGAAGAGAAUAACCCAAGGGAAAAGAGAGGAGAAGAGGUGGGGGUCAGGAAUUGGGUGUCUGGGGGCCGAUUGUGGCCCUGGCCUUUUUUCCUUCCUCUUGCAUCAACUUACAGAACAUUUAGGAGUCACAGAACGCAUUGGAAUGACACCUUUCUAGAGGAAGGGAUCCCUUUUUUGCACAUCUCUAUUCUCUUUGCAGCAACAGCCACUUUCCAUUGGGUGUUUCUCAGGCAGAAGCAAAGCAGCUGCAGCUUCCAGACCUCCAUGUGCAUAGUGAUGCUUCAUUGCUGAAGAGCUGCUUCCAAAGCAGGGACCACUUCCCUUUCUUCUCAGUGAGAUGCUAUGCAGCUCAGAAGGUCAACAACUUCUCCAAACAGCAAUGAGUGAGAAGGAAAAGCAGGAGAGUGGUUUUUGCACUCAUUAACACCCUGCAUUUCCGCCCCCCCUUCCCCUUUUGUGGUGGGAGAUGAGCAACUUUUGAAUGGAAAACAAAAAGCACAGUUUAAGUUUACUACUCUUCAACCUUUAAUUUCCCAUAGGCUGAUGUCUCACUACCUGUGAUUUGGGACCUGUGAAGGCAAAGAAGACACCUAUGGUGCCAAACCCCUUUAUUCCCCUGACAAAUAGUUCUCAUCCCCCCCCCCCACCCCAGACAGAAAGUGGGAUAGAAAGUCACUGUCCUUCCAGCAUGGCUGGGCACAUUGUUGCUAUUCCAGCAUCCCUUCUAUUCCAUUCUCUGUCCAACAGCACUUCUAUUUGUGCAUGGCUGCACCCCGACGCUCCUCUAACAAAUGCCCUUCCCCUCUGGCUCAGUUCUAUUGCUGUUCCAGCAGCUCUGCCCAAACAUCUCCUGGUGGACUGCAGCUCCCUGGGCAGUGCUGCUAUAAAAUGUCUCUAUGGGGCCUUCAGCAGCUCAGUACCACCAGGGGGGGGAUGUAUUAAAAAGGAAGCUGUAUUAAGAGGUAUUGCAAUAACCACUGGAGUGGUGCAGUACUGAGAUGGGGCAGCCCUGGAGAGAGAGGAGGAUGGAGCUCUGCCUUGCUCUGCACCUCCUGCUGGGAAGAGCAAGCAUCUCUCCCUGCUCAUCCCUUCUCUCCUAAGGGAAGGUCCACUGCCAGAGAGGAACAGGGCAGACCUGCAGCCCUGAGUCUGUGCAGCAGCCCUUGCUUCCUGUGCAGAUGCAUUAGAAAAGGGGGAGAGCAUUUUAAGAGCACUUUAAGUCUGCUGCAGGCGUCAUGCUUCAGAGGCAGCGCUGAGAUGAACCACAGUGAUAGAGAAGAAGUUGGCAUCAAAGCCAGCAGGGAGGAGGAUGUUGCCACCUUUUACUACAAGAUUUAACUAGCACUUCCUCCUCCCCUGUGCUGCUCUUUCUGCUGCAGAACAGCCCUGUGACCUUCAGGUUUGCUUAUGGCAUGGCUGAGUAACCUGUUGGUUCAUGUCUCCAUGCAGCUGAAGUGGGAUCACAGCUCCAUGCACUACCAACAGACAGCAGCUACGACAGACACCAGGAUCCUCAGAAACCUAUUCCAUCGGAUGCUCCCUAUUUACCAAACCUAUGUUUGUUUUACUUAGCAAUUAACAAUGUUUCCUCCUCAUCCCUCAUCCCUUUUUGCAUUCAGCAAUAACUGGUCCUGCAGCCCAUCCUCCACUUGCAUCCAUCAGCACACACAGUGCUGGGGCUCCCCAGGGCACAGCUCAGUGUGGGGCUGAGCACUGAGCUGUGCACACUUUCUGUCCCAGCCAGGUGGGAGGAGACACCCCAGCCUGCUUGUGAGCUCUAUGCAAAACUACUUUCCAGUGCUAUGGUGCCCCGAGGGAAAAGGGAAAGGGCAGAAACCGGUGCUUGCUGCUUUCUGUGAGUCUCUCGGGCAGGGCAGACCCAGCAGAAUGCAGAGUGCUCUGCCCUUGGAUGGGGCACAGAUGGAACACGCAGUGCUGCAGGCAGAGCCCUGCUGGGUGCCACCCCUUCAGGCUGCUCUCAGGAGUCCCUUCGGUGCUUCUUCUGCUGCUGGUAUUCUGUUAUCUUCUGCUGGAAGUAGGCUGUGGGCACAGCAAGGGGGGGUUGUGGUCACCAAACACUGCCAGGGUCAGAGCUGUGACAUCUGUGCUUGCAGCUCAUGCAGGGAACUGAAAGGUGGGGGCUGGAGAGGGCACAGAGGUGCAUGGGGGUGGAUGGCACACAGAGGGCUGCAGCCAGGGGGGGUCUGGGGGAAAUAGGGUUGUGGUGAUCCUCCACCCAACACCACUUCCCCCCUACAGUGGCCUCAAUUACUCUCAGCUGGGUUUUCACCCACACCUUCAUUCCUGUUCCCAACCAACAGGGAAGAAAGAAAGCGGGAGAUGCUGAGAAUGCAAACAGCCCGAAAGGUGACGCAGCAGGAACACAACAGCCUGGCUUCUGCCCUCCAUCUGCUGCAGGUCUGUCCCUGUGCACCCCAGGCAGGGCACAGCAGGCUGCAGAGCAUCCCUGCAUCCCUCUCUGGGUAUGGGGCAUUUUCUGCCCUUCUCCCUCCACCCCAGCACCCUGCAGCCCCCUUUACCUUCCUGUGGGAUCCUGCUCUUCUCUGCGUCCUCAAUAAAUAAGGAGAACAUGUUGGUCUUCACAAACUUCUUCACGAACCUGCGGUUGGUCUUGGAGGUGAUGGCCUUGCAGAAGGCUCUUUCCUGGAAGGUGCCCGGGCCGUUUUUACUCCACUUGAUGUGUGAGGUGUAAUGCCCGACCAGACGGACAAAGAACUGCACGAAGGCCUCGGAGAUGAGUGCAUUCAGCUGCUCGGAUGCUGUGAGAGAAGACAGCAUUAGAGGGGAAGAUGGGACUCUGUUCUUGCAAAUGGAGCCCAGGUCCCAUUAGGAAAACCACGUGCCCUCUGCAGGCUUUAACACCGUGUAAACAGACGCCCUUACUGUGGAUGUUGUUGUUGCUGUUGUGCCUGUUCAGAGAUGCCAGCAUCUCGUUCUGCAGCUUGAUGGGCAAGAUCUGAUCCUCGUCGCCCACCUGGAAGGCAAAUGGGGCCAUGAAGGACCAAUGGGAAUGCAGCUCGUGUGGCCCCGGGAGGUGCUCAGGGGCUCUAUGGGGCCCUGUAAUGAUGGUGUGAAGGGAUGCUGGCAAUGGGAUGCCCCAGAGACAGAGGUUGCUGCUCGUAGGGCAGCACAGCGGGUGGAGGAAUCACUUUGUGGGGCACAAGGACAUUAAAGAUCUGACGAUUCUAAGUCAGAAAAGGACUCUGAGAUCCCUGAUUCCAGCCCAACCCCACCGUGCCCACCUACAUCCCUCAGUGCCACAUCUCCACCAUUCUGAACCCAUCCAGAGAUGGUGACCCCACAGCCCUGCCACCGAGACGCAGCUGGGACAAAGUGAGGACCCUCAGCCCCAUGUCCUGCGUGGGGAACCUACCGCCCGGAGGAUCUUCCCUUCACACAGAUCAACUAUCAGAGCCUGCAAGAGAGCACAGAGCAAUGAGCUGAGCAAGCACAGCCACCAAGAUGUGCACUGCACUCUCACCCACCCCAUCGCUGCUUCCCACCCAGCACAAGCGUAGGGUCACAGCUGAACCCAGCACUGCAGCCAGACCCCUCCACCCCUCCUGCCUGCAAUAAAUACCUCCUCCAUGGGCUGCUCCAGCACCCGCUCCAGGUGCCGCCUCUGGAUGCCAACCAUGAAGGGUGUGGGGCAGCAGACGGUGUCGAGCAGGCACUCGGGGACCACAGGGAUGUAGGUGUGAGCCCACGUGAAGGGGUAGAGGAGAGCAGCCACGGCGUGGAUACACUGUGAGAGGACACUGCGAGAGGAGCUCAACCUGUGCUCCUCCAGGGGUCUGGGGGGGGAUUUUGGGAACAGAAACAGCUCGGGACUCACCUCAGCUCCUCAGCCAGGAAGAUGAGCCGCCGCUCCAGCACAGCGGAGGCGAAGAUGUGCAGGAUGAGGAUGGGGCUGAGGCGCUGGAGCAGCGCUGGGAACUCCACGUGCUCCAGGUGGGCGUCCACAGGUCGUGUGAGCUCAAUGAGCUGCGGGGUGAGAGCCACCAAGGUUGGCUUAAAAGGAAAACGGUCCCUCUGUGCCCACCUGAGUCUCCCAGAAGACGAUUUGGGAGCAAUUAAUGACCACAGUGCUGCCCAAACCCCGUCCUGGUGGGGAGGAGGUUGCAGCAUCUGCAGCAAGAAUGUCUGCAAAGCACAGCCUGCCCCUUGUCCUGCGUGGGGAUUUGGGACAUGCAGAAACAAAAUGCAGGGGAAGCCACCAGCAUUGCCUACUGUGGCAUUUAUUAAUUAGGGCAAUGGAGUUGUAACCCAAAGUUCUUCAGUGCUCACGAGGCCCUGGUAGGAGACCUCAGCACACCACCUAUGAGCAAUGCUGGAGAAAGUUGCCCAGAACAGGGAGGAAGGCACGACUUCGGCUAUGAAAGCCACACAGACGUCCUCAAAAGCCACCCCAGGAGGGCGGGCACGCUUCAUGCUUGCAAGGAUGGAAAGGUGAAACAUCAAGCAGGUGUGUGGUGAUGGUGUGCCCUUUCAGCUGGCUUUGCCCUGGAUGCACAGCCCCCAGCAGUGAGGUGUGACUGCACUGUAUGAGGUGUGACUGCACUGUCACCUCUCUCCACCUUGCCUGCUCCCUGGGACCACCCUGCGCUGUGACACUGCCAUCAAAGUGCUGCAUUCCCAGCAGGCAGCACAGGGCCUGGCCAUGCUCUGCAGCCCCUUCCAGCACAAACCCUGCAUGGUGUCCAACCCCCAGCCCUGCAGCACCCAGGAUGUGUUUUCAGCCCUUUCCCUGGGAUCUCCCUGCCUCACUCCAGCCCCUGCCUGGAGCCUCACAUUCCAUCUCUUCCAAAGAAUGUCCCCAUGCGCCCUGCUUCUCCAUCACCCCCAGCCACGCUCCUGCAGCCUGGCCCUCAGCCAGAGCAUUGAGCAAUGUGCAAAGCCCUUGCACAAGUUUUCCUGGAUGAAGAAAUCCCUUGUAAUUUGAUAGGCAGCUGCCAAAUGGCACUAGAGAGGGAGGAUCCUGCUCUAGGACCCACCCCAGCAGGCCAUAUCCCAGGGAUGCUCAGCACUGUUGCAUGACCCAGGGCAGAUCCUUCAAACCUUUCACUGCAGCUUCACCAUAAGAGAAAAGAAAAGCAGAACGAGCUCUGCUUGUGCUAACCUGGCCUGGUGCUUUGCAUGGGCGAGAUGGGCACCGUGCCCUGCUCAGAUCUUUCCAAGCAGCACUGCAGUUAAGAGCUGGGCUCGCUGCAUGCCUCCAGCACACCCUCAGUGCUCAGCUGAGGCGAUGCAGAGGGCAAGCUGCAGCCUGCACUGCUGGGUUGCAGCCCUGAGGCAGGGGUGUGAACCAGCACAGCCCCAACACAGCAGUGCUGACACUGAGGCUGUUUGAGCAGUGGUGCUCAGGAAUGGUGCCAGGUGAGGUUUUGCACUGAGGGCUCUGGCUCCAGGCUGAUGGAGCUGCAAAGUGGCACUGCCCACAGGUGGGCUCCAUCCUCAUCCUCACCACUGCUCUCACCCAUGGGAAGCAGCACCUCUGUCCCCCAGGGCACAAAGUCCUCACUGCCCGACCCACAGCCAUGGAGGCAGCCCCAUGCUGGAGCAGCACAGAAGGUGCUGAGUCCCCCAAACCAACCUCUGUGCCCGACUCGGGGAUGAAGCUUUUAAUGGUGACGGUUUUCCCCGGAGCUGGAAAGGGCGAUUCCCGCAGGCCCUGCAUGAAGGGGUAAAUCACUGCCAUGGAGAUCUGACGCCUCUUCUCCACCUCAUCCAGGAUCUUGGAGAAGAGCCCGAAGCAGCCCAGGCAGCUGAUGAUGCAGAAGACCUCGGGGAGGCGGACACCGCGGCCAGAGGGCAGCAGCCUCCUGCAGUAACCAAUCUUCCUGCUGCCAUCCACGUUUGUCAGGACAAAGGAAAAGGUUUCGCUGCAAGGAGAUACAGUGCAUGGGCACGGGGCAGCUCUGACAGCCCACAGCCCUCCGGGUGGGACCACAGCAGGGCAGGUACCUGGGGAAGGUGGUGACGGGCUCCCAGUUGUUGCCAUCGGGGAAGCAGAAGAGGGGGAUGGCCUGCAGGAGCCGCUCCUCCUCCUCCUUCUGACCCUUCAGGAGGUUCUCACGCUGGAAUGAAGUGAUGCC
rnacentral:lncRNA from 1 species